ACUCAAGUGACGGGCGUGCAAACGACGCGACCAUCCAUGCACGCCUCUCCCCAUCUCUCCCCUCCGCAUCGUCACUGACAGCUCUCCUCCUUUGCCAAUCACGAGAGAGGAGCGAGACAGAUAGCAGCAGCACUGCACAGCGGCUGUGGGAGACUUUCCUUCCCCUCUCUUUAUGUUGGCGCCGCUGCCGCUGCCGCUGGCGUGUGUGUGCAUGCGCAUGUGAUAUGCCGCUCCCUCUUACGUCUUUGGCAAGAGCCAUGGCCUCCCCUUGUGCGGUGGCAGGCAGCACCACUACCGGCACCGCUGUCGCCGCGGGUAACAGCAGCGGCACCGACUGCUACGUCAUUGUAUGGGUCGAGGGCCGAGAACGACCGGUGUACGCGUGCACUGCGCCUCUUCCCUCCAGUGGGUCCUCCGCGUCGUUGCCCUCGGCCGCUUCUGCCGGCGCCGCUGCUGUUCCAGCGGUGAACGUGGUGACGCUGCGGCGCUUCUUCGGCGCCCUCGUCCUUCUCUCGUCCCCGCCGCCGGCGGCGAGGGCGCGGGCAGGCGGGCACUGUGCGGCGCUGUCUUGCGCCGCCUCCUUUACUCGAGAGACCGCUCCUGUGCUGUGCGCAACCCUUCCGCUGGGCUUGGUGGGCGCCUUCGGCGCGUCGCCGCCGUACUACUACGUCGCUGUGUUGGCCCCAGGCACUGCUGCCGUGGUGGGCAACCAGCUGCUGGCCUGGCUGGCCUCCAGUGUGCUGGCAGCGCUCCAUCCCGACUCGUGGGCAACGGCUGCGUUGCCGACUGGGCAGGCGUGCGGCACGGCGCUUCUAUCGCUCGCCGCUGAUGCACCGGACUUGUGCUCGCAACUUGCUCUGUACGGUGCUGCCGAGGUCGGCAGAGCACGCGCCGGCGCCGCCGCGAUGGAGGACUACGGCGCUCGAGAGGUGUUGGCGGACAGCGCCGGACAGUCCACCCUAGCUGCGGUGCUCCAGGAGUUCGAGCCGUGCCGUGACUCACCCGUGGCUGUUGCGAUCAGCACCCUCCUCCGAAGGUGCUGGGUGCCCUUCACCGUUUCGCCCGCCACAACCGCAGCCUCCCUGCACAUCUCGCUCGCCGGCUACUUCACCCUUCCGUUCCCGUCCUGUCUCCGUGCAAGCAGUUCUGCUGCUUCACCUCCGGCGCCAACCCUCUACGCGUGCUCGGCCGGCUGCUGGGAGGCGCUGCGCCUCCUCGCCUCCUUCUGCAGCCGCCGCACACCGGAUCUCCAGCAAACCAGCAGCGCGGACGCCGCGCCUCUGGCAGUUCUCCCCCUCGGUGGCAGCAGCAGCGGCGGUGCGGUGGCCCUGAUUGCAGCGAGCGUCGGAUACGUGCACCCAGACACGGCCCUGUACCAGGCGGUGCUUGUCCACGGCGAGCGUCCUUCCCGCGGCGGCGCUGUCAACUGCGCUGCUCCAUAUGUUCGCUACUUGACCACCAGCGAGGUCGCUGCCUGCGGAACUCCCUGGCAUCCCGACGCACUACGCAGCGUGUGGGCAUGACGUGCUUCCUGUGGCAUAUGUGCUCGUGCGUGCGUGUCUGCACAUACUUCGGAUCAAAC
rnacentral:misc_RNA from 1 species